GGGUUGGCCGAGUGGUUAAGGCGUUGGACUUAAGUUCCAAUGGACAAGUGUCCGGCGUGGGUUCGAACCCCCACCC
rnacentral:tRNA from 1 species